rnacentral:tRNA from 13 species
GCCGCGGUGGCGGAGGAAGACUUCAAAACCGCCGCGGAGAU